GCCGGCGCCAGCUUCGUCUCCAUGAGAGGGCCGAAUCAGGACGGAUCCAAGUUGCCGACGUCUUUGCUGCCAUGGACGAGCCCUCACCCAGCGACCAAGGAAGGCAGGAGAAAUCCCUCCUCCUUGCAUUGUUGCAUCACUGCAUCCCCACGGUAGUCCAGGAGGAGCUCAACUGCCUGCUUUGAGAAGAAGAGAUGGCAGGAGGAUGAGGCAUGGGCUUGACAAGAAGUGGGUUGGAGCAAGAAGUAGAGCAGACAAUGCCCCUCUCUUAAUUGGCAUCUGCACAGCCAAAUCAAGGACCUAAGCUCCUGCGACGACCCCGGGAGGAGCUCGAGCCGCAGAGGUGGUCCAUGGUGUCGUCGCCGUCAUCCUCGGCAGGAGAAGCGUGGGCUGCAGAGAUGGUGGGAUCCGUCCGAUCCUUGCGCUGCCGUCCGUCCACCCUCGAGGAUAAUGUGUUUGUUCAGCUGAUCUGUAUAGUUUCAAUACCGGGUUGUUAAGGAGAAUGCAGAUGAUGCAUAUUCCACGAGUUGCAGACCCCCCAACAGCAAAUUCAGUCCUACGUUUUUUAUGGUUACACAGAGAUGGUUGGCUCCGUCCUGCUCCGGCGAUGGCUUCCAUCCACCCGAUGAACAGGACUACAUGGGAGAUGUAUGACGACCUAGCAAACUCCCGUCUGGUCAGCAGAAGUAUUCUGAUACUUUUCCUUAUGGCCCGGUGGCAGCCAAUGAGGGUUCCCCAUCCGAUGCUUGGUGCGGAGAAGGGGCCGUUCUCCUCUCAUGCGAGCAGCCCAAGUGCUGCCUGAUCCUUCCGUCCAAGAUGGAGGUGGUGAACAUCGAUGUGGCGACGCCUGAUGCGUACAUGAGGUCGCUAUGUGUUGUGUCUGAUGUAAUUUGGAACUCCGGAAUUUUCAUGGCUGAAUGUUUGUCUUUGUGCUUGAAUUCAUUUGUGUUUGAUGUACUAUGAAUUAAUGAUUAGCUU